rnacentral:rRNA from 2 species
UUAAGCGACUAAGCGUACACGGUGGAUGCCCUGGCAGUCAGAGGCGAUGAAGGACGUGCUAAUCUGCGAUAAGCGUCGGUGAGGUGAUAUGAACCGUUAUAACCGGCGAUUUCCGAAUGGGGAAACCCAGUGUGUUUCGACACACUAUCAUUAACUGAAUCCAUAGGUUAAUGAGGCGAACCGGGGGAACUGAAACAUCUAAGUACCCCGAGGAAAAGAAAUCAACCGAGAUUCCCCCAGUAGCGGCGAGCGAACGGGGAGGAGCCCAGAGCCUGAAUCAGUGUGUGUGUUAGUGGAAGCGUCUGGAAAGGCGCGCGAUACAGGGUGACAGCCCCGUACACAAAAAUGCACAUACUGUGAGCUCGAUGAGUAGGGCGGGACACGUGGUAUCCUGUCUGAAUAUGGGGGGACCAUCCUCCAAGGCUAAAUACUCCUGACUGACCGAUAGUGAACCAGUACCGUGAGGGAAAGGCGAAAAGAACCCCGGCGAGGGGAGUGAAAAAGAACCUGAAACCGUGUACGUACAAGCAGUGGGAGCCUCUUAAUGGGGUGACUGCGUACCUUUUGUAUAAUGGGUCAGCGACUUAUAUUCUGUAGCAAGGUUAACCGAAUAGGGGAGCCGAAGGGAAACCGAGUCUUAACUGGGCGUUAAGUUGCAGGGUAUAGACCCGAAACCCGGUGAUCUAGCCAUGGGCAGGUUGAAGGUUGGGUAACACUAACUGGAGGACCGAACCGACUAAUGUUGAAAAAUUAGCGGAUGACUUGUGGCUGGGGGUGAAAGGCCAAUCAAACCGGGAGAUAGCUGGUUCUCCCCGAAAGCUAUUUAGGUAGCGCCUCGUGAAUUCAUCUCCGGGGGUAGAGCACUGUUUCGGCAAGGGGGUCAUCCCGACUUACCAACCCGAUGCAAACUGCGAAUACCGGAGAAUGUUAUCACGGGAGACACACGGCGGGUGCUAACGUCCGUCGUGAAGAGGGAAACAACCCAGACCGCCAGCUAAGGUCCUAAAGUCAUGGUUAAGUGGGAAACGAUGUGGGAAGGCCCAGACAGCCAGGAUGUUGGCUUAGAAGCAGCCAUCAUUUAAAGAAAGCGUAAUAGCUCACUGGUCGAGUCGGCCUGCGCGGAAGAUGUAACGGGGCUAAACCAUGCACCGAAGCUGCGGCAGCGACACUAUGUGUUGUUGGGUAGGGGAGCGUUCUGUAAGCCUGCGAAGGUGUGCUGUGAGGCAUGCUGGAGGUAUCAGAAGUGCGAAUGCUGACAUAAGUAACGAUAAAGCGGGUGAAAAGCCCGCUCGCCGGAAGACCAAGGGUUCCUGUCCAACGUUAAUCGGGGCAGGGUGAGUCGACCCCUAAGGCGAGGCCGAAAGGCGUAGUCGAUGGGAAACAGGUUAAUAUUCCUGUACUUGGUGUUACUGCGAAGGGGGGACGGAGAAGGCUAUGUUGGCCGGGCGACGGUUGUCCCGGUUUAAGCGUGUAGGCUGGUUUUCCAGGCAAAUCCGGAAAACCAAGGCUGAGGCGUGAUGACGAGGCACUACGGUGCUGAAGCGACAAAUGCCCUGCUUCCAGGAAAAGCCUCUAAGCAUCAGGUAACAUCAAAUCGUACCCCAAACCGACACAGGUGGUCAGGUAGAGAAUACCAAGGCGCUUGAGAGAACUCGGGUGAAGGAACUAGGCAAAAUGGUGCCGUAACUUCGGGAGAAGGCACGCUGAUAUGUAGGUGAAGCGACUUGCUCGUGGAGCUGAAAUCAGUCGAAGAUACCAGCUGGCUGCAACUGUUUAUUAAAAACACAGCACUGUGCAAACACGAAAGUGGACGUAUACGGUGUGACGCCUGCCCGGUGCCGGAAGGUUAAUUGAUGGGGUUAGCGGUAACGCGAAGCUCUUGAUCGAAGCCCCGGUAAACGGCGGCCGUAACUAUAACGGUCCUAAGGUAGCGAAAUUCCUUGUCGGGUAAGUUCCGACCUGCACGAAUGGCGUAAUGAUGGCCAGGCUGUCUCCACCCGAGACUCAGUGAAAUUGAACUCGCUGUGAAGAUGCAGUGUACCCGCGGCAAGACGGAAAGACCCCGUGAACCUUUACUAUAGCUUGACACUGAACAUUGAGCCUUGAUGUGUAGGAUAGGUGGGAGGCUUUGAAGUGUGGACGCCAGUCUGCAUGGAGCCGACCUUGAAAUACCACCCUUUAAUGUUUGAUGUUCUAACGUUGGCCCGUAAUCCGGGUUGCGGACAGUGUCUGGUGGGUAGUUUGACUGGGGCGGUCUCCUCCUAAAGAGUAACGGAGGAGCACGAAGGUUGGCUAAUCCUGGUCGGACAUCAGGAGGUUAGUGCAAUGGCAUAAGCCAGCUUGACUGCGAGCGUGACGGCGCGAGCAGGUGCGAAAGCAGGUCAUAGUGAUCCGGUGGUUCUGAAUGGAAGGGCCAUCGCUCAACGGAUAAAAGGUACUCCGGGGAUAACAGGCUGAUACCGCCCAAGAGUUCAUAUCGACGGCGGUGUUUGGCACCUCGAUGUCGGCUCAUCACAUCCUGGGGCUGAAGUAGGUCCCAAGGGUAUGGCUGUUCGCCAUUUAAAGUGGUACGCGAGCUGGGUUUAGAACGUCGUGAGACAGUUCGGUCCCUAUCUGCCGUGGGCGCUGGAGAACUGAGGGGGGCUGCUCCUAGUACGAGAGGACCGGAGUGGACGCAUCACUGGUGUUCGGGUUGUCAUGCCAAUGGCACUGCCCGGUAGCUAAAUGCGGAAGAGAUAAGUGCUGAAAGCAUCUAAGCACGAAACUUGCCCCGAGAUGAGUUCUCCCUGAGACUUAGAGUCUCCUGAAGGAACGUUGAAGACGACGACGUUGAUAGGCCGGGUGUGUAAGCGCAGCGAUGCGUUGAGCUAACCGGUACUAAUGAACCGUGAGGCUUAACCUU